rnacentral:rRNA from 1 species
CCGCCCGUCACACCAUGGGAGUUGGCUUCACCCGAAGGCAGUGCGCUAACCGCAAGGAGGCAGCUGACCACGGUGGGAUCAGCGACUGGGGUG